UAUCUUGAAUUCGUCUUCGCGUUUUAAC
rnacentral:piRNA from 1 species